ACGUAGGGGGCGAGCGUUGUCCGGAAUUACUGGGCGUAAAGGGUGCGUAGGCGGUGAGUUAAGAUAGAUGUGAAAUCCCCGGGCUUAACCGGGGCAUUGCAUUUGAGACUGUAUGGCUAGAGUGCAGGAGAGGAAAGCGGAAUUCCUAGUGUAGCGGUGAAAUGCGUAGAUAUUAGGAGGAACACCGGUGGCGAAGGCGGCUUGCUGGACUGUAACUGACGCUGAGGCGCGAAAGCGUGGGGAGCAAACGG
rnacentral:rRNA from 1 species